GCCCCACUUGGUGGUGCUCUUGUUUUUGUUAUGGUCUCAUUAUGAUUCCUGGAUGUAAAUUAUUAAGUUGCUCUUUUGCUGAAAUAGAAAAAUCAAAAUAUUUUCUGUAAUUCAUUAUUUCAGUCAUUGGUGAAUAUAGACAGAUUACCAAAGUAUGCACAGCCAGCCUUUGACAGUUUCAGAUCAUUAUAAAGAACACAGAGUUGCUAUGGAAACAGAUCAAAACAUUCUUCUCUGUGUUCCUACAUGACUGAAGUGAUAUAGUAUGAAGGUUGAGGAGUUGAUGGGGGCUCUCAGGUGACCAAGGAGCAGAUAAAUGCCACACAGACCGUGUGCACGCCGGAGAAGUGGGAUAUCAUCUUUAGGAAAGGAGGGGAGAGAACUAAUACACAACUUGUCAGAUUAAUGAUCUUUGAUGAGGUUCAUUUAUUGUCUGAUGAAAGAGGACCAGUUUCAGAAUCUCUUAUUGACAGAACCAUACGAAACAUGGAAACUACACAAGAUGUACGACUUGUUGGUCUCAGUGCCACACUAACAAAGUAUGAGGAUGUAGCGACCUUCCUGCGCUUGGAACCCUCUGGAUGUCUGCUCUUUUCCGACAACAGUGUCUGACCUGUACCACUAGAACAACAGUUUAUCGAUAAAACAGUGUAGAAACCGGUGAAGAGGUUCGAGAUAAUGAAUGAGAUUGUAUAUGAAAAGGUUAUGGAGCAUGCAGGCAAUAAUCAGGAGACAGGGAAGACAGCUAGAGCAAUAUGAGACAUGUGUGGAGAAAGAUACCUUAGGACUCUUCUUUAAGGAAGGCUCCAUGUCAGCAGAAGUAUUACAUAAUGAAUGGGAACACCUGAAAAACUAGGAGCUAAAAGACCUUUCUCCUCACAGCUCUGCUAUACAUCAUGCUGGCAUGAAUAAGUGACAGAAUUGGGACAGAUUGCUAGUCACUGUUGCCUUACACAUGAGAUGAUAGCAACAUACAACCAGCUGUUGAAACCUACACACAGUGAGAUAGGACUGUUCCAAGUGUUUUCCCUCUC